rnacentral:rRNA from 1 species
CCUACGUGCGACAGCAGUGAGGAAUAUUGGUCAAUGGGCGCGAGCCUGAACCAGCCAAGUAGCGUGAAGGAUGACUGCCCUACGGGUUGUAAACUUCUUUUAUAAAGGAAUAAAGUGAGGCACGUGUGCCUUUUUGUAUGUACUUUAUGAAUAAGGAUCGGCUAACUCCGUGCCAGCAGCCGCGGUAAUACGGAGGAUCCGAGCGUUAUCCGGAUUUAUUGGGUUUAAAGGGAGCGUAGAUGGGUUGUUAAGUCAGUUGUGAAAGUUUGCGGCUCAACCGUAAAAUUGCAAUUGAUACUGGCAGUCUUGAGUACAGGUGAGGUAGGCGGAAUUCGUGGUGUAGCGGUGAAAUGCUUAGAUAUCACGAAGAACUCCGAUUGCGAAGGCAGCUUACUAAACUGCCACUGACAUUGAUGCUCGAAAGUGUGGGUAUCAAACAGGAUUAGAUACCCCAGUAGUC